CUUCAGGAAAUUUAUUAGCAUCUAGUUAAAAAGCGGGCACGCAGGCCUUUUUAUAUGCAAAAUGGCAUCAUCAUUGAAUAUCAGAUAAUAACAAAUAAACAUCAUUAAUUGGGUUAAAUGUUAAGUGGCUAUGUCAGUGUCCACCCAUUAAUAUUAUUAAUUGGCUCAGAGAUUUGAGUGACUAGUGAGGCACCCUCCCAUCAUGGGAUGUCGUCGCCAUUGCUCUUUAGCACGAGGCUUACUCGGUGGAAAGGGGGGCUUGGGCGUCAUUUUACGUAGUUAGUGAUGUCAGUCUCGUGGUCUGGUCCAAAGUUCUUUUAUGAAUAGAACAUUUCAUUUAGUCGCUGUUCUCCUGGCCUUGGAUUAUACUAUGUUGCAAGUUACGGGAGAUCCGCUAACUCCGGGGCUAGUCAUGUCCUUAGAGAGAGAAAAUACAAUCUCUUAUUCAUUAUAC